GAUGAACGCUGGCGGCGUGCCUAAUACAUGCAAGUCGAGCGAACGGACGAGAAGCUUGCUUCUCUGAUGUUAGCGGCGGACGGGUGAGUAACACGUGGAUAACCUACCUAUAAGACUGGGAUAACUUCGGGAAACCGGAGCUAAUACCGGAUAAUAUUUUGAACCGCAUGGUUCAAAGGUGAAAGACGGUCUUGCUGUCACUUAUAGAUGGAUCCGCGCUGCAUUAGCUAGUUGGUAAGGUAACGGCUUACCAAGGCAACGAUGCAUAGCCGACCUGAGAGGUGGAUCGGCCACACUGGAACUGAGAACCGGUCCAGACUCCUACGGGAGGCAGCAGUAGGGAAUCUUCCGCAAUGGGCGAAAGCCUGACGGAGCAACGCCGCGUGAGUGAUGAAGGUCUUCGGAUCGUAAAACUCUGUUAUUAGGGAAGAACAUAUGUGUAAGUAACCGUGCACAUCUUGACGGUACCUAAUCAGAAAGCCACGGCUACCUACGU
rnacentral:rRNA from 1 species